UAAAAGUCGUAACAAGGUCUCCGUUGGUGAACCAGCGGAGGGAUCAUUACUGAGUUUACGCUCUAUAACCCUUUGUGAACAUACCUAUAACUGUUGCUUCGGCGGGUAGGGUCUCCGUGACCCUCCCGGCCUCCCGCCCCCGGGCGGGUCGGCGCCCGCCGGAGGAUAACCAAACUCUGAUUUAACGACGUUUCUUCUGAGUGGUACAAGCAAAUAAUCAAAACUUUUAACAACGGAUCUCUUGGUUCUGGCAUCGAUGAAGAACGCAGCGAAAUGCGAUAAGUAAUGUGAAUUGCAGAAUUCAGUGAAUCAUCGAAUCUUUGAACGCACAUUGCGCCCGCCAGCAUUCUGGCGGGCAUGCCUGUUCGAGCGUCAUUUCAACCCUCAAGCUCUGCUUGGUGUUGGGGCCCUACAGCUGAUGUAGGCCCUCAAAGGUAGUGGCGGACCCUCCCGGAGCCUCCUUUGCGUAGUAACUUUACGUCUCGCACUGGGAUCCGGAGGGACUCUUGCCGUAAAACCCCCAAUUUUCCAAAGGUUGACCUCGGAUCAGGUAGGAAUACCCGCUGAACUUAAGCAUAUCAAUAAG
rnacentral:rRNA from 1 species